GGGGGCGUACUGGUUUCGACGGGGGAAGAGAUGGGUUGAGUAGCGAGCCGAGUUGCCGCCAGCUCGUUAAAACGGUGGAAAAGCAUUAACUGCUGAUAAUAAUAAUUACGCAUUAGCAGCUUAGAGCUGCUACGUCCGGCUGGCCAUCCCUACGGGUUAGUGCAGGGCGUCAAUUAGUAGGGAUACCCUGACGGUUUUUCUCUCUGGGGACUGUUAAGGGGAAAUUUACAGGGAUAGCACAAUGGAAGCCUGUCCGUGGGCGUCCGGCGUGCGAACUCUAAAAUACGGACUGCGCUCGGAGACACUUGGCUGGUCUUUCCUUCGGACGGGGGUUCGACUCCCCCCGCCUCCACCA
rnacentral:tmRNA from 1 species